GUGUGUGUGUGUGUGUGUGCGUUGGUGCGACCGGACUGUUGGGACAAAACACCUGAAUACAUACCGACAAUAUGAGGACACACCGUAACUAUUGGGACAGUGCUAAUGUCCCGAUAAGUCAAGCAGUGUAGAAGUGUUCAAAAUGAUGUGACAUACCACCUCCCGCCUUUUCUCGUUAUGUCCUAAUAGUUACGGUGAGCCCGUUUUUCUGUGUGUAUCUGUGUAUGCUCAUUGUGUAUAAUCUCCCACUAUCGUCCCUUCGCUGCUACUGCUCUUUCAUACACAUUUCUGCUCGUCACAGUCGCGUUUCAUUGGUCUAGCGAGAGGGCCUCCUCGUCAGCGAUUGGCUGAAUUUGAUCGCGUUUCAUUGGUCGAUCAGCGGAAUCCUCGUCAGCGAUUGGCUGGAUUUCAUGUCCAUCAAACGCAGCCCGCUUCAUGUUUCCAAUUGGCUGCCGAAGACACGCGAGGUAGACCUUUAAUUCCAACGGAGUGAACUAUCAGCAACUACAAAAGAAAACCAUUUGUGCAUCUUUAAGAAUCGAUGCUUCAAAAAAAGGAUGGAUAACUGGGAUGCCUGAAUGAUGAUCACAGAAAUCCUAAAUGAAGGCAGUAGUUCUUAAAGAAGCCCACACCUGUGUCCGUUUACUACAGGGAUAACUUUCCAGAUGAAGAAAUUACCCACUUCUAUGGUGAUUCUUCUUGGCCAUGGCAUUCAAGGGAAUUAUGUGAAGAGUCAUCAAUGGCAAUGAUCGAAUGUGGUUCGUAACACUUUCACAUCAGGUAAGGAGAAAGAAUUGCAUGAAUAGUCAUUGGUGACUGAGAUCGAAUGCAGUGUGAAACCUUAUCAGGGAAAGAGACAGAUUUGCAUGAAGAAACAUUGGUGACUGAGAUUGAAUGCAGUGCGAAAACGUCCAUGUCAGGGAAAGAGACAGAAUUAUGUGAAGAGUCAUCAAUGGCAAUGAUUGAAUGUGGUUCGAAACACUUCCACAUCAGAUAAGGAGAAGUGUCAGCAUGAAGUACACAGUGCUGUUUUUUCCAGUUUGGAUUUGUGCGAUGAUUGAUUGUAGUGGUCCCAUGUCAAGUAGAAAGUGGCCGACUUCAACUUGCAAAUACACCAACUCAAGGACAGUUAUUAUAAAAAACAUGGAGCAGACUGAAGUGAAUGCAGUCAUGAAACAUUUUAAAGGGACACCUCACCACAAAAGCACAGUGUGAUCAAUGCAAGAAAGCAGAAGACCAUGUUCUUAAAAAAAGAAGAAAAAUUAAGUGACUUUGUGAGGAACAGAGGUUUGCAGAUAAAUAAAAGAAAUGUUGGAGUGCAUUUCAACAAAGAAAAGCAAAAACUGCUUUUAAACGGUUAGUUCAUCCAAAAAAUUAAAUUAGGCCAUGGUUUAUUCACCCUUAUGCAAUCCUAGCUGUAUAUGACAUUCUUCGUUCAGACGAACACAUUAAGAGUUAUUUAAAAUUUUCUCUGAGCACUUAAAUACUAUUAUGGAUGUGAAGUGUGGGCCUUGUUGGAACCGUUCCAAUACAUGUCAUGUCUUUUGAAGCGGAUCGAUAGGUUUGUAACAAAUAUUUAUUUUUCAUGAAUUAUGAACUCCAGUUGCUACUUGCGUGUUGGCGACAGAGUCACAUGAACCUAAACAAAUCAAAGAACAAAUCAAAGAUUUCCCAAACUCAGCCAACUUGACUUUUCGCAAACAAGCAUACAGACAUUAGCUGUGUUUCCAUCCAAAAAUGUGGAUGAACUUUAUGCGCAAAACUGGAUUAACGCGUUAAAGACGUGCAAAUAAAGCAGCGUUUCCAUCCAACGAGUCAAAGCAAACAAAAUCGUCACUUCCUGAUUAACUGCCGCCAAAUAUCAACAGUAAAAGCUUAAUUUGCUGUGGUAAGAGAAGCUGCGUCAAUCUUUUCUUCAUC